CCCAUCAACAAAGAACAAGAGGACGUUCUCCGUUCUAAACCAUCCGUUUCCGCCGCAAUUGAAGAGCUCGAGAAACUCCGCCAGCCUCUCGCUACUGCCGUCUCUGAAGAAAUUGCCCUUGCCAUCCAACGCCACCAGCAACAAUCUUCCAUUUCCGAUAAUGCAAUUGCUGAUAAGGAUGAUAUCGAGAAAACCAAUUGCGAUUCCGAUGAAGAAACUCCCAGCGACGGUGGUUCCGUGGUCGAAGAUCUGUUGAAUUUGUUGUACUUCGGGUCGAUGUUUGAUGAGAAGUCGCAGAAUGACUUCACCGCUACCAUGUUGACUCGGACGCACGAGAGGGGUUGCUGCUUGACUUACGAUUAUGUGAC
rnacentral:misc_RNA from 1 species